rnacentral:rRNA from 1 species
UUAAGCAUAUCAAUAAGCGGAGGAAAAGAAACCAACUGGGAUUGCCUUAGUAACGGCGAGUGAAGCGGCAACAGCUCAAAUUUGAAAGCUGGCCCCUUCGGGGUCCGCGUUGUAAUUUGUAGAGGAUGAUUCGGCGAGGGCUCCCGUCUAAGUCCCCUGGAACGGGGCGUCAUAGAGGGUGAGAAUCCCGUAUGUGAUGGGUUGCCUUAGCCAUGUGAAUCUCCUUCGACGAGUCGAGUUGUUUGGGAAUGCAGCUCUAAAUGGGAGGUAAAUUUCUUCUAAAGCUAAAUACCGGCCAGAGACCGAUAGCGCACAAGUAGAGUGAUCGAAAGAUGAAAAGCACUUUGGAAAGAGAGUUAAAAAGUACGUGAAAUUGUUGAAAGGGAAGCGCUUGCAGCCAGACUUGUCCGCAGUUGCUCAGCCGGUCUCCUGACCGGCGUACUCUUCUGCGGCCAGGCCAGCAUCAGUUCGGGCGGUCGGAUAAAGACCUCGGGAAUGUGGCUCCUCUCGGGGAGUGUUAUAGCCCGGGGUGGAAUGCGGCCAGCCUGGACUGAGGAUCUCGCUUCGGCUAGGAUGCUGGCGUAAUGGCUGUAAGCGGCCCGUCUUGAAACACGGACCAAGGAGUCUAACAUCUAUGCGAGUGUUUGGGUGUCAAACCCAUACGCGUAAUGAAAGUGAACGGAGGUGGGAACCCUCACGGGUGCACCAUCGACCGAUCCUGAUGUCUUCGGAUGGAUUUGAGUAAGAGCAUAGCUGUUGGGACCCGAAAGAUGGUGAACUAUGCCUGAAUAGGGUGAAGCCAGAGGAAACUCUGGUGGAGGCUCGCAGCGGUUCUGACGUGCAAAUCGAUCGUCAAAUUUGGGUAUAGGGGCAAAAGACUAAUCGAACCAUCUUGUAGC